AGCUCAGUUGGUAGAGCAGGGGACUGAAAAUCCCCGUGUGGGCAGUUCGAUUCUGUCC
rnacentral:tRNA from 1 species